CCCCGGCAGCCCGGGCAGGGCCGCGACGGAGGCGAUCGCGGCUCGGCCGAGGGCAUCCGCGGUGGGUCCGCGGUGUUUGCGCGGUGGGUCCGCGGAGGGUCCGCGGUGGGGCGGGUCCCGGCCCCUCCCGUGCCGGGGAGCCUGCGGUGGCCGCGGCGCGCUGAGGGCGAGAGCCCCCCCGGGAAGUUGAGGGGUGCAGCGGGGGAUGCUGCAGUGCCCGCGCUGAGCUCCAAACGCCGCUAAUGAAGAACCGAACCGUUCUGCCAACUGCGCUCAGGCUCACCCUGAGCGUGGCCGUGCCCAGCAGCUGCCUGCAGCAGGUGGAGGAAAAUGGGCUGCAAAAAUCCCCCUGGAAGGAUUUUGGGGCGGGGGGAAAGAGCCACCUGAGCGCUGUCGCCACUGCAGCAGCACUAGUGCGAGAGCUCCUACGCUGGCGGUUCCCGUGGCAUGAACCCAGGGUGAAAAAUCGAGAAUUAUUGGUAUCAUCCUUUCGCUGGUGGCUGCUAGAGGGAGCGCGGAUGUUUCCCUGUGCCUUAUCCAUCCCUCAGAGGGAUCCACUUGUGUGUUUGCCAGGGCUGCAGCAAGCCUGCAGAGCUGCCACCCUGUCCGUGGCAGCCGUGCAGAUGGCUUCAUCCUCACUGAAGUGAAAUUGUAGAAUCACAGAGUGAUUUGUGUUAGAAAGGACCUUAAAGAUCGUCUCAUUCCACCCCCCUGCCAUGGGCAGGGACACCUUCUGCUGAACCAGGUUGCUCCAAGCCCCAUAGAUAGGGAUGCUGUGAAGAUCAUGGCUCAGGUGGCUGUAGCUCCCCAAUCCAUCCCUGUGUCCCAAAUCUGCCUGCAGACGUGCUGUGAGUUGUCACCUGAGCCACCCGAACCCAGAAAAGUUCACAAAGGGGUUUAGGAACUGGGCAGGAGCAUGGAGUGGGGUGGGAGCCUCACAGAAACAGGAGUGGGUGUGGGGAGCACAGCGAGGAGCCAGGAUGGCGAGCAAGGGGGGAAGCAAGAGAAAAUCAUGAACUGUAAGGAAAGGGGGAGAAACAGCCCUGCACAAUUUCCCAAACCCUGUGGUACUUGCCUAAAUUCAGGCUUAUGUCUGAGCAAGCUGAGAAUUUGGGGCAGUUCUUUGAACUUCAGGGUGUCCUUGUGCAGCGCCACUGGCACUGCAGAGCCCUGAUUCAAAAUGCAGUAAAAAAGAGAGAAAACGGCUUCUUGAGAGCUGCAGGGAUGGCUCCAGGAGAGGCUUGACAUGAGGUAAAGCACAUCACCAUCCUACACAUCUGCAGGAGCAGAGGGUUUGGUGUUCAGAGUCCCCAGGCAGAUUUUGGGGAUGGAAAUGGGGUAAAUCUGCUGUGUCAGUCUGCUGAAAAACAUCAACAAGAGCAGCCUGCAUCCCCCAAAACCUAAUCUGGAUCCUGGGCACAACCAGCUCUCCAAGAGUCAAAAGGAUUGAGUCUUGUCAAGUGGUAUCUAGUCCUUACAUCCAUCUGGAUCAAUCCAUCUGGAUAUUGUAAAACAGAGAAAAUUUAGCGUUUAUUCAAUGAAACAGUACAGUGGUUUUUGCAAGGGACAUUUUUUUUCUGAGAGUUUCCAGCAGUGUCUGCAACCCAAGCUGGCUGCUGGGCCAGGGCACUUGGAAUAUCAGUGGAAAGGUCUCUUUUCCUUAAUGAAUUCCCAGAGGGUCAGCAAACAACCUGCAAGGAGAAUAAGUGCAAUUUUUGAAAUUCUCUCUCCAUCACCUCUGCAGCCAUCCCUGAAUGAGAUAAAGUUCUCUAAGUAUAUAAAGAAACUGAAUUCUAAUCAAGAUAAAUGCCCAGUUUCAUACCUAAUUUGCAUGAGUAUGUGCUGCAAACUGUGUUUGCAAAUGGGAGAAUUCUGUAUGUAACCAGAUAACCUGAGUGUGCAAUCCCAGGACUGUAUAUGCAAAACUUACUCAUUGCACUUGAAUAAAAGUAAAGCUUCAGCAAAAAGGAACUUGGCUUUAAAGUACCAGCAUGUCUUUUUUUUAUCAUAAAAAAUUCAGGUUAAAGCUGAUUUGAACCUUCCAAGAACACAUUUAGCUGCUAAGGCAAAUUCCAAAUGAUGUUUCUUACUCAAUCUAACUUUAAUAAUAGGCUGGUUGAGUCGCUGCACUGUCAGAGCUGGGAUUUUUUUAAUUUACUGGAGAAGAGAAUUUCUACGUUAGCACGUGGUUAUUUAAAAAAAUGUGUCCUAAAGUUGGCUGUGGCCUCAUGGGUAAGCUAAAAACCUCACUCUAAAAACUUUCCUCACUACUUUCAAGUCUUCCUGAAAUCCCCUGAAGAUAUCUUGGAAGAUUUUCUCCUCUUUCCCAUGCCUCCUCCCAUCCUUACUGAGGAACAGCUGGAUCCAUUAAAAUUGAUUUAGAUCUCUCAGUGCAGAAUUUAAUUUCUCUGAGCUUCAGCCUGGAAGGAACACAGAGUGUCCCAGCAACACCAGGCAGAGGAAAAGGCACAAGGAUGGGGCAUUCCUCACCCACCUGGGUUGUGCCAGCUCCCAGUCAGAAGGUCAAACCUUUGCUGGAAACCUCAAAAUUGGGAUGAAAUGAAACUUUAGGAAAUGAAUUGUGCCUCAAUCCCUUUGUCCUAUUAGUUUUAAAUUAAGAAAAAAUAAUGGAAAUGAAAAGCUAAUUAAAGACCCAAAAUUAGAAAUAUAUUAUUUCCCAAAAUUGCUUUGAUGAUAAUUUUUUUUUAUUUUUUUUUUUUAUUCCAGCUUUAACCAGGAGGUUGACAGCUCAGCAAGGUGUCUGUGUCCCAAAGGGAUGGGAGUUCUUGGCCAUGCAGAUGAGGCAUAAAGAGAUUGGGAAUAUUUCCUAAAGGAAACCUGAGUCAAUGCCAGAACAAUUCCCAGCUGAAAGAACUGUGAGUAUCACCAGCUUCUUUCAGUACAUCCUCAAAAAUGGACCUUCUGUGGUGGAAAAAAGAUCUCCAAAGUGGGGUUUUUGAUCUGUGCCUCAGGUUUGUUGUGCCCUGGCAUGCUGUAGGGCCAGCUUCCAAUUGGACCCUUCCAAAUAUCACUAGGAGCAUCUGUAUGGCCAUUUGUCACCAAGAAAAUCCAGUCCAAGACACCAGCAACCCCAGCAGCAAUCCCCAGGAAAAGCACAGAGUGUGGCCCACGUUCCACAGUCUCUUCCAGCACAUCUCCACUAAGAAAUUCCCAUCAAAGCUACAGCAGCUGUGGCAAUAAACACCACUGGCAGAACCAGUGGAAGAGCAGCCCUUUGCUCCCUUCCCAGAAAACAAAACUGGAAACUGGAGCAGAGCACAUGGGAAGGGUCAGCUGGAGCAUCCUGGGAAUGGAAGGUGCUACAGAGAAAUGUGAUUUUUAAAAAUGAUAAUGUUUGUCAAGUAAGCGAAAGACAAGAUCUCAAGGGUGGUUCAGCCCUCUAAAGUAAUCCUAAAAUUAAUUCAGAAAUGGAGAACUCCAGAUUGUAACGGAGAGGGGCUUUAACAUACACAGCACACUGUCCCCCAUUGGCACCCAGCAGGAAAGGAGCACAUCAGCAUCCACAAAAUUCCCACGGCUGUUUCAGGGACAAAGCAGCCCAAUCCAGGCAAGAGUGAAACUUAAUUUAGUCCUUCCCUUUUCUUUCAGGUGAAAGAACAGCAGUUCUGCUCUAAGUGAGCAUCACCUUCCUCUGUUUUGUCAGUGGCACCCAGCCUGGGUCACCCCUGGUCUGGGGAUCACCCCUGGUUUGGGGAUCACCCCACUGCCAAACCAUCCCUUUGACAACAACAGAACGUGCUGGGGAGUGUGGAACAACAAAAAUAGCCUUUUCCCCCACCCCUGUUUUCCCUGAUUUAAUCCAAAAUGCUACCAGCAGGGUGGACUAAUCCUGUAUUGCAUAAGAUUACAAACCUACAAUUACAGUCCCCACUAACCUGUAAAAGAUUUAAAAAUACACCUAGAUAGAGUUUCAGCAUUGAGAAGGCAGCUGAAAAAUUGGCAUUACAUUUCUACAUGUGCAUAUUGCUUUAAAUACAAUCAUGUUUUAAGGGAUUCUUUGAUUCUGUGAAUUUGAUGUCCAUUUCUUGAAUGGUUUGUAGCAUGGGUUGGCUGGAGCUAGCUCCUCUGCAAAAAAAGAGCACUUUUCCAGGAUUGAGGGAAAUCCCUCUACAUGAGAUAAUUCACAAGUGUUCUUUUUCUCAGGUUAGGUAGGAGGAUACUGCAGGUAUUGUUUCAGAGGAUGGGGAAACUGAGGAGCAGAUGGGCUGGAGCAGGGUGUGACCAAGGUCCAGUGGGAGAGGGCACCUGCAACCCAUGAAACAGAGCGAGGUUUUCCAGUUAAAUCAGGAGCAAUUCCUUCAUCUCACCGUGAUUUACCCUAAAGGAACACCCAGCCACAGAAGGGCAGGGAACAUGUGUCUUCUAAUAAAAUCUCUUUAACUUUGACAUAGAUUACUUCUAAAAAGCCCCCAUCAAACCACACCAAAUACAGGAAUGUGAUGAAGUAUCUCGGUACAAAAUCUAUUCCGAGGCGAUUAUCAGCCUUUGAAAAAUUCAGGCUCUAAGUCAGUUCAUGGCAGGGAUCAAAUUGAGCUGCUGUCAACUCAUUUGGGCAUUUUACUUUGCUUCUGAUAUCUGACAGUUAAAAUAAUCUCAAAUAGUUCCCAUUACUCCUGCAUUUUCUGCUUCUUGCCCCAGGGAAGGGCCAUGCAGCCAGGCUCCCAUCCCAGCCACCUCCCAGCCUGCAGCAUCCCUCCCCAGCCCUGCCUGGGGGGAAUCCCAAGACUGCCACAGCUUCCUGCUCACUUCCUCCACUUUGGGGAGAAAUUGUAGCUAAGGCUGAUCAGCUGUGAGCUGCCACAGGCAGACCCAGGUCCCUCGGGCUGAGUUCCAGCUGCUGCUGGGAGCAGUCUGUGGUCCCAGCUGGGCUGCACUGGACAUCAGCUGGAAUGCCAGGAGGAGCUCAGUCCUCUCAGAGAGAAGGCCUGGAGCAUUAUCUUCUGCUAAUGCAGGACAGAAAUCAAACGAAGAUGUCAAAACUGUGUUCCCCCUGCCUCAGGCAAAACAGAGCCAGGGUGACCCCCAAGUUCUUCCAAAGGGGAUCUCAGUUUGUGUGAAGGAAAAGCAUCUCCAGCAUCCUCAUAACUGAGGGCAGCGCGGGAUGAAAAGGAAAAUCAGAGGAAAAUAAUGGUGUCAGGACCUGGAUCUGAGAUCUGCAGCUUUAAAGGAGAGAAAAGCCAGGGAGAUCCCAGCCUCAGGGUGCAAGAUGUGUUGAAAUACAGAUGUUAAUCAGGAACAGGUGGUACCUCAUGUGGGUUCAGCAGUGACAUUUCCACGUUUUAAAUGCACUCCUUACUUGCUGGUAACAAAACUUCCCAUUACUACAAAGAAAUACAUAUUAUACCUCAAACAUGCUUCACUGAGCUUGGAGAGUAAAGAUAAAAUAAUCUUUUUAUAGCAAAUAGGAAUGAAUACUUAAAAAUAAUAAAAAGUUGGUGAAUAUUCAUUUGAACUCUCAA